CGGGGCGUAGCGCAGCCUGGUAGCGCACCUGGUUUGGGACCAGGGGGUCGAAGGUUCAAAUCCUUCCGCCCCGA
rnacentral:tRNA from 1 species